ACCCCAUGGUUUGGACAUUUUGUAAUGAUAUCUUUAUAUCUCUUCUAAGCUUCAUAGAGAUUUUCUCCAUAAAAUAUUAUAAAGUUAGAAAGCUCUUCUCUAACAUC